CUAUGGAAACUGCCCGUGAUAAGCGGGAGGAAGGUGUGGAUGACGUCAAGUCCUCAUGGCCCUUACGGGUUGGGCUACACACGUGCUACAAUGGUGGUGACAAUGGGUUAAUCCCAAAAAGCCAUCUCAGUUCGGAUUGGGGUCUGCAACUCGACCCCAUGAAGUCGGAAUCGCUAGUAAUCGCGUAACAGCAUGACGCGGUGAAUACGUUCCCGGGCCUU
rnacentral:rRNA from 1 species